GACGAAGGGGGCUAGCGUUGUUCGGAAUUACUGGGCGUAAAGCGAGUGUAGGCGGUUGUUCAAGUCAGGUGGGAAAGCCUUGAGCUCAACUCAAGAAAUGCACUUGAUACUGGAUGACUAGAGGACCGGAGAGGAUAGUGGAAUUCCCAGUGUAGUGGUGAAAUACGUAGAUAUCGGGAGGAACACCAGUGGCGAAGGCGACUACCUGGCCUGUUCUUGACGCUGAGGCGCGAAAGCUAGGGGAGCAAACGGG
rnacentral:rRNA from 1 species